rnacentral:tRNA from 2 species
GAUAUAAUUUUGUCUAUGUUACGGCCAUAGAAAUGAUGGAAACCUAUCUUAUAUCU